GCCGGGGUGGCGAAAUUGGUAGACGCGCAGGUCUCAGAAGCCUGUGGAAGAAAUUCUGUGUCGGUUCGAGUCCGGUCCCCGGCA
rnacentral:tRNA from 1 species